CGAGCUGAAGUCAGAUGCUUAACCGACCAAGCCACCCAGACACCUGAUGGUUUUACUCUGAUGUGACUCAUGGAAGGCACCCUACCGCGAACUCGGGCCCACAGGCACUGCGGCCAGGCUCGAAGGUGCUGGACCUGGGCUGCCUGUUUUAAAACCGAGGAGGGCUCUGUCUGACUUCGGGCCUGGUGCAAAGGCUGAGGACCUCAACCUCUAGUGGACCAAGAAAAGAGGUCACCUGCCUCCCAAGAUGUGGGGUAAGAGAGCUGCUUUUCAUUCCUCGCUCCCUGACAGAGGUCUUCGUGAUUCUUUUGUGCGCCAUUUCCCUGGCCUGAAAAGGUAAUGCCGUUGUCUGCACAGCUCAGGCCACUGCAGAGGGAAAGGGGACCUAACCUCCGAGAGACUGUGGCUCUCCCGCUGUGCGUGGAAGGCCGUCCCUCUGCCCCUCCCAAUGCUUCAGUUUCUCUCUCGUGUCACCAUCCCUGGUUAAGAAUCCCGGACCCAGGCAACUUUGCAGCCAGGCUCUAGCCAAAGGACGGGACCCAAGGGCAGGGUCACUAACUGAAACCACCCGUGGGGUCUCCUGGCCUCCAGGGUGCUGCUCUGUGGCGGCCCAAGCCUUACACUUAAACAGGAAUGACUGUGAAGGAUUCAGGCUUCAAAGUUGCUUCCCGCGACAGACCCAACCCCCUGGACAGGAGUCAGUGCAAGUGAGGCCGCAGGUAGCAACCGCUCCCGCCCCCCUCCCGGUGCGGCCGCCGCUCCGCCCUCUCUGCCCAAGUUCUCGAUGGUAAGACAGCCCCUGAUUCGCGUUCACGGAGCCAGGCGAUGGGGGCGCGGCCGCCACCACGGGCUACACUUGGACAGACCUUUCUGGGGGAGGGACACUCAGCGACACAAGAUCACUAGACAAGCCAGCUGGCUUAGGAAAGGGACCCCUUCAGUGGGGUCUUUCCUUUGGGGGCCGUGGCAUCUGGGUGGCUCAGGUCGUCGUGUCACAGUUUGUGAGUUUGCACCUCUGCGUCAGGCUCUGUGCUGACAGCUCGGAGCCUGCUUCGGGUUCUGUGUCUCCCCGUCUCUCAAAAAUACACAUUAAACACCCUGCACUCUAGCCAGUGGGCACGAUCCGCUAUAAUGGCCAUCGCCCCGCUGCUUUGUUCUCUCAAAAAGCUUUCAGUACGUGUUCGCAGCUUUGAACCACCCAGCAAAUGAUGUCCUGAAGAACAGAGCUUCAGAAAAGGACCAAGAAGGACCAAUGGAAAGAACGAACGUGAUGUCAUAACCUGUGAGCACCACACACACACAAUCACCACACGACCACAAGAACGCCGGAGCCGCCGCUGCCUUACGUGUGAUCCCAUCUCUCAGGCUGCGUCGGAUCAAGGGAGGGAAGUGGUGAAAACAAGAACACUGGCCCCAAAUGGAGUCACUUGUGCUAAGCCCCACGUCACCAAACCUUAGUUUCAGCUCUCCCAGAAGUGGAGUGUGAAACCAGUCACUCAGGGCAUCUGUCAGACCCCUGCCAUCCCCCUAACGCUGAGUGACUUUUUGGUCUCGUGUAGCCUCCCUCUCACUAUUCAAGUCUCAUUUCCUAUAGCUCCUCUGAGCUCCUUUCUUCUGCUAAAUAAGACACUGCUUCAUUCAUAAGUGGUGAAUAAAGCCAAUAAACUUUCA